rnacentral:tRNA from 1 species
GGCCGUGUGGCGUAAUGGCAACGCGUCUGACUACGAGGAGUUAAUCAGGAGAUUGCAGGUUCGACCCCUGUCUCGGUCA